GUCAUCUCAAGUCAUCGCAAGUAAUUUCUUCAAUUUCAUCAUCGCUAAAGACUGGUACAACGUUCAUUGCACACAGACUGAACUGAGAACUUGAACUAGCUAAAAAAAAAAAAACAAGAACAUAGUAAUACCAAUGGCGUUUGUCAGGAAAGAAGUAGCCUCUUCUACAAACCAUGUGAUGAUGAUGAUGAUGAUGAUGAUGAUGACGAUGAUGAUGAUGAUGAUGAUGAGGACGUCGCUGCAGUGCAGAGGAUUUAAGCCCUUGAAACCGAAAGUAAAGCUGAACAGCAGCUCGACUCCUGAAACCAUCUUCAUGAUUAGAUUCAGUGAAAAUGGCGACGAGAUCUGAAUCACUUCCUGAGCUGUCAGUGGUCAGCUCGAGUCCAGGUGAUCCAGAGAUCUGGAUUCUUCUGACGGGGCUCGUCUGGAAACACUAUACUGAAGCUGGGGUUUGUGAGGAGAAAACAUGGGUUGAUGUGAAGCAGCUGAAUGUGACUUCACUGAUGAAGGUUGUGUUAUCAACUAACUGUGGAUGUGUGGAUGAUCACACAAGGAUCAGGUGGUGAUUGGAGAGAGUAACAUCACGUGGAACCGAAAGUGAAACUGAACAACUCUGAACAGCAGCUCGACUCCUGGAGAGAUUAUAUUUCCCGCAACUAUGUGUUUUAUGCACAUAUGUUGCUUUUUAGUUAUGAUGAUACAUAACAAAUAUAAGAUCUCCAUGGGCUCUGUUACGCUGUGAACAGAUUCAGUGAAAAUGGCGACUAGAACUGAAACACUUCCUGGUGAGAAACCACCAUUUAUUCUGCUCUUAAACUCGAAGGAAUAACUUUAACCUUGACUUUGCCUUAUUUUACAUUCAUAUUCCAUAUGUUCUGCCUCUUUCAGUCAGCAAUCAGCAGCUCCAGUCCAGAUGAUCGAGUGAUCCGGAUUCUUCUGAUGGGCAGAACGAGGUCUGGGAAAGGCUGAUCUGGAAACACAAUACUGGGAGAAAACAGGUUUAAAGAUUACAUAAAACAGAAGAAUAAAAAAAUGAGGCUGAAGUUUGUGAUGAAGUCA
ensembl:lncRNA